GAUGAACGCUGGCGGCGUGCCUAAUACAUGCAAGUCGAGCGAACGGACGAGAAGCUUGCUUCUCUGAUGUUAGCGGCGGACGGGUGAGUAACACGUGGAUAACCUACCUAUAAGACUGGGAUAACUUCGGGAAACCGUAGCUAAUACCGGAUAAUAUUUUGAACCGUAUGGUUCAAAAGUGAAAGACGGUCUUGCUGUCACUUAUAGAUGGAUCCGCGCUGCAUUAGCUAGUUGGUAAGGUAACGGCUUACCAAGGCAACGAUGCAUAGCCGACCUGAGAGAGUGAUCGGCGACCCUGGAACUGGGACACGGUCCAGACUCCUACGGGAGGCAGCAGUAGGGAAUCUUCCGCAAUGGGCGAAAGCCUGACGGAGCAACGCCGCGUGAGUGAUGAAGGUCUUCGGAUCGUAAAACUCUGUUAUUAGGGAAGAACAUAUGUGUAAGUAACUGUGCACAUCUUGACGGUACCUAAUCAGAAAGCCACGGCUAACUACGUG
rnacentral:rRNA from 1 species